CAGCUCUUAGCAUCAGCCGGCUUACCGUCGUUGACGUCCACGUUGAGCACUGGGCCUCCGGUCAGCUGGAAUGCUUGAAUUAUGUCCCGCCCACACAGAUUGAGGCCUGAGCAGCCGAGGACCACUAGCAUCGCGUUGACGCUUUU
rnacentral:lncRNA from 1 species